GCCCCAGUGGCUCAGCUGGUAGAGUGCAUGCCACUCACGCAGCAGCCCAGGUUCGAAUCAGGCCUGGGCCC
rnacentral:tRNA from 1 species